UCUCCUCACUACUCUUCACAUUUGACAUUGACACUUGGUAAUUGGCUAAAUUGGUAAAAUCGUAUCAAUAUUAGAGAUAUUCAUAAUUCCUAAUUUAAAUCUCAUCUGAUUUACAAAUUAAAGCAGAAAAAUCGAGAAUUUGGCGCUCUGAGGACCUACGAAUUUCAUUUUUAUGUGAUGCAAUUAUGUUGCGACUGUUCAGAGAAAUAUUACGUAUUGAUCGAAGAACAUACAAAAAUUUUGGUCAUAAAAGAGAGCCAGAAUCAAGAUUUACAGUAAUUUGGCAUGGAUUUCUAACAUUUAGUUUUAUUGGACUGGGAGUGGAAUGGAAAAGAGUUUUAACAUUUUUGUUUGGAGACACUGAUCUACCACAUCCUCUUGAAUUAGAACCACAACAUGAAAAUCCAUCAAAAGUAUAGAAAAAUCAUGCUAAUAUUUGUAAAUAUAUAAUUAUAUGUCAAGUAGGAAUGUACAUAUUGAAGAAAUAUAUUUAUUAAGUUUAAAAAAA